AUGCAUAAGAUUUUAAAAAAUGUUUUUUUCCUCAAAAAAUGCAGGCCUUUAGAAAAGAUUGUUUCAUGACAUCCACUCCGUGUUUUUUCUUGUAACUUGCAGGGACAUAUGUUUGCUGUAGCUACUGUUACUGCAAUGCAUCACUCUUUAAAUGUGUUGAAACAACUGUCAAAGUGGAUGGUUUGAUUGUUUUGAAAGAAUUACAGUUCCUACAGUAGAGUUAUACACUACUAAAUUACGCCAUAAAACCGUUCUGAUUGAAGAACCCAUCUGACCCAGCAGUGGAAAUUAAAAGUUGCUCGUAUACGGUAGGUGGCGGUAAAGAUCCAAAGUUGAGAGCGGCCGUUAAACACGAAGAAGAGGAAAACCCAAUCAGCGAGCGACUCUUCUCAGUUUGAACGCGAAGCGGUUUGCUACAAUGGCGAUCAGUUCCGUUCAUAUUUGACAUUUUUUAAUCAUACAGUUAUUACAUAAUCUCGAGAAGGGAUCUACAUGUCGAUAACGCGUUGUAGAGUAAAUAUCCAAGAUGAAUGCAAGAGGAAGAAAUGGACCGUUGUUUAUCAAGACGUACAGUAAAAGAAUGCGAAAGGUGGAGCCUUGGUUCUCCCCGGACCUGAAGAGAGCAGCUUUCUCUUUUUCAAGCACUCUUUCAUCAGAUCAGUCCAUAACAGAGACCGCACAACCCAAGAAACGGAGAAUAAGAGAGAGAGCCUCCCGUCCUGCUAAGAGCAAAGGCAUGACUGCCAUAAAGGAGAACGGGAGUGAUGAGGAAAACUAUGCACCGUCCUCGUUGUUCAGAAAGAAGACAAAUGCAAAACCAUCAAUAAGGACUACAGCUGUGAGGAAGACUCGAACGACAAAGAAGGCAAAAAUAAAUAAACCGAUUAUUUUCAGCAGCAGUGAAAAUGAGGAUGACUCCUGUACGAUGAAGAAUGAAAUCCGUCUGAAAACGUCUGCUGGUGAAGGUGCUGGUGCUGAGAAAGUGUUCGGCGCUCAGUGUUUGACCAGGUUUGUCACACAUCGCAGAAGACCACCGGCACCCAUCCAAACUAAGCCGAUCUCUGUUGAUGAUUCCUUAGAUGAUUUCCUUCCUUCGUUCUCCCAAAACAAGCGCGUUGCGAGCAGGAAGCCGUUCUACACGGACUCAAAUAAUCAUGCUGCUCUCAAGAACCGCAAACACUCACAGAACCGCGUGGCUCUGGCUGAGGUGUCUUUCAAUGAUAGCGAUGAGCAGCAGCUCCCGAGUAAACAUCCCCUGCUUUCGAGCACACCUUCCCUGGUCUGCAGACGGCUCCAAAACUUACCAGAGCCCUCCAUCAGUGAGAUCUCCUCCCUCAGCUUUGAUGAACUUCACCAGGCAUCCUCUGGAGAGAGAGUGACGGAGCAGAGGGAUGCAGUUGUGGAAGAGAGAGCUGGGGAUGGAGAGAAGGAUCAGAGGAGGAAAGAAGGAUGUGCGGAGGCCACGUCGAGCACAGGAUGCGUGUCACGACACUCACACCUAGAAUCUCUAGCAGACGAGCUAAAGAAGAGGUGUCGCACAGUGGAUGUAGCUGUGAUGCUCAAAAAAAUAGACGUCUCGGAUCAUCUGUUGAAGGUACAAAGCUGCGGCAGGGAACGGGAUUGUUUGGAGUCCUCCGUGGCAGCAAGCAGUCAGAGCAGCCAAACCUAUAUAACUGUAUCAUCCAGCUGCUCCUCACUAUCCAAACCAUCACUCUAUCUCUCCUCUUCUAAGUCUCUUUCUGCUUCCCCUUCUGCUGGAGCUGGUUGCUCAAAGCAGUCCCUUAUCGGGCGUCUUAAGGCUGAAUGUCUGUUAUCUUCCCUCGCUGUCAGCAUUCCCCGUCUAGACCUGGCUGCGUAUCCUUCCGUCCACCAGGGGGCGACAGAAGCACCCGCCUCCGCAUACACCUGCCACAGGGACAGCGCAUCCUCUCCACCUCUUAAAGAGACGGGGAAUGUUAUCCCGACCAGCUCAAUAAAUCAUAAGACUCCCAGUAACGCUGGAGCAGUUGUUCAACACUUGUCUGCAUCAUUCCAACCUCGUCCGGUCUCUCCGUCUGCCAAUGCAGCUCAUAGCAAAACACGACCUCCUGCUGUGCCUAAAGAACGCGCGGGUUCUGGUACUGGCACCGGUCGCAAAGUUUGUGUGAGUGGACUUAAUGUCAGCCGCUGGUCAAAGAGGGGCGCUGGAGAAUUCAAUGAGAAGCGGAGGAAAAAGGAAGGACGGACAAAGGCAGUGUCAGGAGACUAUAGUUCCUGGGGCAGCAUGUCGUCUGCUGGAGCAGACACCUGUGCAGGGGAAUCAACAUGUGGCUGGCUGCAGGGCACCAGUGUGAUCGGUCUGGCUGUAACACCUCUCAAAAUGGAGCAAAUGAAUCUGUCUUCCAUUCUGACCAACUUUACUCCCGACACACUCACGACACACUCCUGGGGCCGACUGAAGGCAGCACUGUCCCUGCAUAAGAAGAAGACUGGUAUGUGUUUGCAGCAGGCCAGAUAA
ensembl:lncRNA